CGAGAAAGGCCCGCAAGGGUCGCCAGAGGACGGGUCCGCGUCCCAUCAGCUAGUUGGUGAGGGUAAUGGGCUCACCAAGGCGAAGACGGGUAGCUGGUCUGAGAGGAUGAUCAGCCACACUGGAACUGAGACACGGUCCAGACUCCUACGGGAGGCAGCAGUGGGGAAUAUUGCGCAAUGGGCGAAAGCCUGACGCAGCCACGCCGCGUGAGCGAUGAAGGUCUUCGGAUCGUAAAGCUCUGUGGGGGGAGAAGAAGAAAGUCGGUGAAGAGCCGGCCCUGACGGUAUCCCCUUAGCAAGCACCGGCUAACUCCGUGCCAGCAGCCGCGGUAAUACGGAGGGUGCAAACGUUGCUCGGAAUCAUUGGGCGUAAAGCGCGCGUAGGCGGCUGAACAAGUUGGAUGUGAAAGCCCUGGGCUCAACCUAGGAUGUGCAUUCAAAACUGUUCGGCUUGAGUCUCGGAGGGGGUCAGAGAAUUCUCGGUGUAGAGGUGAAAUUCGUAGAUAUCGGGAG
rnacentral:rRNA from 1 species